rnacentral:rRNA from 1 species
AGUAACACGUCGGUAACCUACCCUCGGGAGGGGGAUAACCCCGGGAAACUGGGGCUAAUCCCCCAUAGGCCUGAGGUACUGGAAGGUCCUCAGGCCGAAAGGGGCUCUGCCCGCCCGAGGAUGGGCCGGCGGCCGAUUAGGUAGUUGGUGGGGUAACGGCCCACCAAGCCGAAGAUCGGUACGGGCCAUGAGAGUGGGAGCCCGGAGAUGGACACUGAGACACGGGUCCAGGCCCUACGGGGCGCAGCAGGCGCGAAACCUCCGCAAUGCGGGCAACCGCGACGGGGGGACCCCCAGUGCCGUGGCAUCGCCACGGCUUUUCCGGAGUGUAAAAAGCUCCGGGAAUAAGGGCUGGGCAAGGCCGGUGGCAGCCGCCGCGGUAAUACCGGCGGCCCGAGUGGUGGCCGCUAUUAUUGGGCCUAAAGCG